GGUUUAAAAUUAACGGUCAUUGCUGACACUGAGUCACAUUGUGAAACUGUCUCUUCGUUUGCGUUGCUUCCAGAGGUGGAAACCGAGAUUCCGAGGAGUGGCAUGCUCAUAAUCACACAGGGGACUUUGAUAGAACUAAGACCAAAGCAAAGUUGCCGGUUCAGCGGUACUGACGGCCUCCGCAGAGCACUUCUCCAGGCCAUGAACUUAAGGGAGGUCUGAGAGCUGUCUUCCAUUUUUCUUAUCUACCCUAAGCGGAAAUACAACCAACAGGAGUCUCAUGCAUGAGGCUCCUCAAGCUUCAAUCAACCUAUCCAGAAUAUCUAAGUCAGCUUUCUGAAGCAGCACAGCUUCCACUGUUGAGCAAGUACUCCGCCCUGUGCUAAAGCAUUGUAUAGAUCACUUCUUUUAUUUACGACAACCCUGUGAGGCUGAUGUUUUUAAAAAUGCUAUGAAGAAUGGGAGAGUUUCAUGCAGAUGAUCAGUAAGAGAACUUAAAAGAUAUGUGAUGUCUCUACUUUGAAGCUUGGAGAAGCUCUGGGUUACCGUCCAACCCUGUUCAGUCUCGCCGUGUCAUCCUUCUUCCGCUUCAGUCUCCCAGCUAAAAGUACAGGCGUGCACCCCGUGCCUGGCGGUUCCACAGUCUCGCUGCAUGGACCAGAAACUCUCCCACCUCACCUCCUAGUCUUUAUGAUUACAGGCACCUGCCACUGUGCCUGGUCUUUAGGUUAGACCGAGAAUUGAACCUUGGCCUCCCACGUGGUCCCAGCCUGCCGAGCGCAGCAUCUCGGGCAUGCACACCACCCAGCUGGGCUAACCAUUUUAAGACCAUGGCUGGAUUAACCCUCCGGAACGAGUUACUCCAUAGCGGCAUGCCCUAGAGACCUACAUUAGUCCUUGCGAUGCUUAAGACCCAGAGGCAGGCUGGAAAAAUGUGUCUGAACAUUCCCCGCAUCCCCCAUCCCACCGAGGCUGCAUAAUCGCUAUUCUUUGUUUGCUUUCUUGCUUUUUAUCAUGUUUGGCCUCUGUGGCCUACCUGUUUCUUCUAGUCAUUUCGGCCAAUACGUUUCUUCACUGUUUUCCUUUCUUUGAAAGUAUUUCCUGGCACGGAUACUAAUCAUGUCGACCUUUGACGCCAAGGUAGAAUGAUCUACCUCCUUCAACGUCAGUGUGUGUACAAGUUCUGAGUCAUGGUUGGAGCAUUAGCGUUGUAUUACACAGCACACGUGCUUAGUCCCUCUGCCCACCCACCCCUGUCCUCACAUUAAGAAGCACUUCAGAAACACCUAUUGUGUAAGAUCAGUAAGUUUAACCUUUACUAACUCAAACAGUUAAGGAACAAAUAAACAAACUUUUCGAAGGCUCCUAAGGACUCAAAUACGUCUCCAUAUCACAUCACAGUCACCGUCACUCAAGCUCUUAAUAAUUAACCAUCCUAUCAGUGACUGCGUAUGCUGACCACUCUCCACGUGCCAGACACUGGGCCGAGGGCUUCACGCGGUUUAUCCUAGCGACUCCUCGCAACAACCCCGUGACCUAGCUGGUACUAGUGCCCCUUUUCAGAUGAAUAGACUGAGAUUAAAUGAACUUUUCCACCAUCACAGUUCAAAUCCAGGUUGUUUCACAGACUUACCUCCAUGCUAUAACCGCCAGAGAACUAUUAAAACCUACAGUCACCAUCGUCGUCACCCUAAGAGCAGCGCAUAUACAUCGCUGUCGAUAGGCAAGGCAUUAUUCUCAGUGAGGAACACCCAAAAACGUAUUCACCGUUUACUGUAACCCGAUGGCGUAAGUAUGAUUCUUACUGCCAAUCUGCAGAAGAAGAAACUGAGGCAAAGCGGGGUCAAGUCCUCGGUCCAGGUCACAGGGCUAGUCCGAUGCAAGGUUGGGAUACUGUGGACAGCCUGGCUCUCGGGUCCAGGACUCGCCCCUGCAACAAUUUCAACAGCACAGAACAAGUAAACAGUCCGGGCCCUUCAGAACCUCUGAGCCUGGGAACACCACAUUUAAGCACAGAACCGUAACUAAAUGUUCAUUCCUAUCAUCAAAAAUCAUCAAGAACAUAUUAAAAAGGUUUCAUUCAGCCUUGUUAAGAAGGAAAAAAGGUAAUACACGUAAGCCAAAUUUCAUCCAGGAUAAGUUUCUUUAAAAAAAAUCAACAACGUUUUUCUGGAAAAUGAACUCACUAUAGAACAAAUGAGGUGUUACA